UUCAUUCUAGACUUCACUAAUGAUCGGACAGUUCCAGUGUUUGUCUGUGUAUUCAUUUUAUUGAACAUGUAUAACAAAUUAUAAAGACAACGUGAACUUAAACUAUGAAGGGAUCUUUUCCAGUCAACCUGUAUGGUGGCAGAAAAUACUCCUAAAUUUGACCAAGAAGACCCGUUUAAAAGAAAUGGUUUUUAUAAUUAUUACUUUCCUUGGACGAGAAGAAACGUAAAGAUAACAAAUAAAGGGAAACUCAUUAAAAUGCGCCCUUAAAUUAUACUACUUGAGAGCAAAGACAGCAGAGGAUCACAUUUGUAAAUGCGAUGUUCAGCCAGCAACUUCGUGUUAUUCGAGUUAAUUUUAAAAAGUUACCACACAGCUGUCGAAAAUUUCCCGACGCAAGUAUCUUAUGCGAUGUCGUCUAUUAUUCACGUCGUCUAGAAGAGCACAAACUAGUAAACUAGAUAAGUUUUAAAAGGACUAAGUUAGAUGAAUCUUGACUGCAUAAUGACACAGAUUAAAAGUUGUUGAUUGUGAAAUUCAAAGAGUUUUUUGAUGGCGGAUGUCGGGGUAUUAAUGUAAGCCUGGCUGAUGGGCAUUAUGGUUUUAAUCGUUGCACGACUGCGCAUUUAUAUAGUCUGUGGAGUACAUCAAAGAGGUACGCAAUCUACACAUAACGUCACAGCUUUAGUAUACAAAAUGAGCAAAUACAAGACCAGAGAGAGUUCAGCUGUAGGGUAACCAAAUUUGAGUGUUCCAGUUCUUGCUUUCUCUAACUGUCCUUCAAUAGAGUAAAUUGCGCCCUAACAGAGUCCCAUCACGUCGUAGACAUAGCCAACUCAUUGGGCGCUGAAAGGGCAUCUCGGUGACAUUGUAACUGGCUGGUGUGAACUUCAGCACUGUUCAAUAUGUAAUUAAAAAAAAAAUAGAAAGUUGAGAAUAUAAUGAAAACCAAUAAUGAAAUGUCAUAUUAUGACUUGACAUUUUCUUAAUUUCAAAUAGUGAUGCAGACUGACAGAUAAAAAAAGGUUUACAAAAGUGUUUUGGCUUGUAAUAGAGUCCUCCACUAAAGUUCUCACAAUUAUUUUCUUUAAUAUCUCAUAU